rnacentral:tRNA from 1 species
AACAAUUAAAUUUCAACAUAGAAAAGUAAGCUAAAUAAAGCUAAUGGGUUCAUACCCCAUAAAUAGAGCAUAAACUCUCUUCUCUG